CAGGAGGGCUUUUUCUGUGGCUCUAGCAAUAAAUAGUCGCUGGCGUUUACAGAGUGCCCGGCAAGGUCCAGUGUUCAAAGGUCAGUGGACUAUGCCCCAGGCACCCGCUAGAGGGCACCAGAGUCAGGCCCUCUCUCCACCAACCCACGGCGGUUUCCAGAGCUCGCUGCGCCCGGGUUCUGACGCUGUGUAAGGCGGCGGCUCUCAGCCAAGCCGCCGCUCAGUUCCAACUACGAGACGCUUGGCACUUGUGUUUGGCUAAACAAGCAAUCAGAAUGACUUCAAUCCAAAGCCUAACUGGAAAAAUUACUCACGACAGUAUUGACAAAGAAGUCUUAGAAAAGGAGGACCUCCGCAGAAGAGAGAACCCAGGGCCAGCCGCAGAAGAGGAGAGAUUUACCAUACUGGAUGCAUACCCGAAAGGUUGAUUUUAAUCCUUCAUCCCCAAGUUAUACUAACACGGAGCUAUUAAUUUUUUGUCCCUGCUUCCACAGCCAGUGUGGGAAGGGGUACGCUGUGGGAGGCCUUGGGUUGGGGCACCCUUCGAGUGCUUUCUAGUGCGCUGCGGCAAUGGCGCAAAGUGCGGGUGCGCGUGUAUGCCAGAGAGACAGCGGCCCAGGACCAGUGAGAAGGGAGAGGGCGCAUCUGCAAGUCCCGCGAAGCUCGCGUGAGGUCUGCCACCUGCAAGUCACUUUGGGAGAGGCUCGUCCGUCCCUUGUUUCUCAGGAACAGCAAAGGAAAGUUAGGACAGGCACCGAGGGGUGGUCCGGAAGGGGUCCAAAUACCUACCGCUCCUCCCCCACCUCGAUGAAGAUGUCACCUGCAGCCACACACAGCUUGCUGCCCUGGACAAGGGAGCCGUGUGCUGUGUGGACAGGGACUGUUGGGUCACCCCGGAUCUGCCUUCUGGGCCGCUUCCCAUGGGCUGUUCCGCUUUCGAUGGGAAGUUCCAGUGCUGAUUUGUGAAAGCAGUGUGGACGGACUAUGGCAAGUUUGGAACUUUGACUCUGUCACCACAUGAACCCUUACAGUUCUACCUAGUUUCAGGGCCACUGGAAAGUAUUUCAGACACAAGGAGUGAACAGGAAAAAAUAAAUACAUGGCCCAAACCAGAAAGCAUGAUUCAAACACUGUGCUCAGGACCAAGGAAAUGGGAUCCCUGAGGUCAUCUGGGAAGCGGUCUCGAGAUGUUACGUGAUCCUGUCCCAAUGUGCUCCUCCUACCGGCCCAAAGCAAUGGUCCUACCAACCCCGGGCGGAAAUCUCCAGCUAACCUUUCAGUUUAUACAUUUAUUAUCUCGUUUUUCCUUAGAGGGACAUGAAGCUGACGAACAACAAAAAUGUUUUUCUCAAAAUUAAAAAGUCAUUAAAUUAUAUCCUGGAGUGACAUAAAGUCAGAUUGCUGGUGGUUUCUAAUGGUAGGAUUAUGGGCUAUUUAAGUUUCCUCUUUGCAUUUUCCUGUUUCCCAAAUUUCUGCAAGUAUUUGUAUCUGAUAACAGAAAUUAUGCAUACAGCAUUUUCACUCUUCUGUUAAGGUAGUAGCUCUACCCUGGAGACCUUUUCCAUGGGCUGAGAUCGGGCUGAGCAGGUCCACUCUGCUGAGGGGGACAAAUGUCAGUCUAGGCCAGGAAAAGGAGGGGCUUGGACCAGAAUAGAAGAAAUGGAAACCAGCUCACCUGACCAGCAGUUCUCAGGCCCCAGUGAGGGCCCCGGGAAAUCCCAGGCCAUGGUCCUGGUCCAGAGAGGUCUUCCCGGAGCAUGGCUGAACCUCAGGCCCUUGACUUAUUUUUCACAUUAUUUUAAAUCUAUUCUCCAGAAAAAUGCAUAUUUUUGGUAGAAAAGUUGCAUAUAGAGAAAACACAAGGAAAAACCACCACACAUACUUCCAUCACCCAAACUAACCAACAUUCCCAUUGUUGUACACAUUUCCCAUCUUCUCUUUUAACUCAAAAUCAGGAUUAUAUUGUAAAUAAUAUUUGAUAAACUUUCAUCUUUUUAUUUUUAUUUUAAAUAAAAUAGGUUUGUUGAGACAGAGUCUCGCUAUGUAAUUCAGGCUGGCCUUGGAUUCACAGCAAUUCUCCUGCCUCAGCCUCUUGAGUGCUGGGAUUACAGGUGUGGGCCACCACACCUGGCAUUAUUUUGAAAAUUUUCAAACCUACAGAAAUGAACCUUCACCUAGAUUCACCAGUUGUUAAUGUUUUAUCUCUCUCCCCAUAAAUAUUUUCCUAGAUUUCACCAUCUGUUAAAUUUUAACUGUGUCUAUAAAUAUUUUCCCAGGCCACUUGAAAAGAAGUUGUAAAUUUGGGAACAAAAGGUUGUCCUAAUUAAAAAAGAAAGAAAGAAGUUGUAGACAUUAUGAUACUUUCUCCUAAAUUCUUCAGCUGUGUCUAAGAGGAAGUCAUCAAGGGCUAGAAUAGAAAGCCCCCACGUGAAGAAUAGCCCAGGCUUGUCCGAAAAUCUUUACUAGGGGGCGGUCUCCUUCUCCGACUUCUCUCUGCCGCCCCCCAGGACUCAGGAGACAGACUUCUCUCCCGAGGAACGAGCCAGCUUCCUCCCGGCAGCCUGGCACCACGUAGGAAGGGCAUAACUGUAGCAGCUCGGAGGGCGGGGGGUGCAGCUCGGUGGCAGAGCGCUUGCUUAGCUUGCUCAAGGCCUGGGUUCCAUCCCCCAGUACCCUUCCCCUCCAAAGGAAAGGAAAGGAGAGGAGGGGAGGGGAGGAGAGAAGCGGAAGGGAGAGGAGACAGGUUAAAUGCUGAGCUGCAAAGCAAAGAUGAUCUGUGCUGCCACCUAGUGGUGAUAUCUAGAAUUCCCCCAGGUAUUUUGUUUUUGAGGCAGGGUCUCCCUGUGUAGUCUAGGCUGGCCUUGCCCUCACUAUGCAGUCCAGGCUGGCCUCGAACUCGUGAUGACCCUCCGUGCGCCUCCACAUCGGGCUCCCCCAGGCAUUUUGGAUUAACA
rnacentral:lncRNA from 1 species